rnacentral:rRNA from 1 species
UACGAAGGGGGCUAGCGUUGUUCGGAAUUACUGGGCGUAAAGCGUGCGCAGGCGGUUCGUUGUGUCGGCGGUGAAAGCCCCGGGCUUAACCUGGGAAUGGCCGUUGAAACUGGCGAACUGGAGUGUGGCAGAGGGGGGUGGAAUUCCGCGUGUAGCAGUGAAAUGCGUAGAGAUGUGGAGGAACACCGAUGGCGAAGGCAGCCCCCUGGGCUAACACUGACGCUCAUGCACGAAAGCGUGGGGAGCAAACAGG